rnacentral:rRNA from 1 species
GACGAACGCUGGCGGCGUGCUUAACACAUGCAAGUCGAGCGAGCCCCCUCCUUCGGGAGGGUGUCCUAGCGGCGAACGGGUGAGUAACACGUGGGCAACCUGCCCUCAGCUCUGGGAUAACUCCGGGAAACCGGGGCUAAUACCGGAUACGACCUCCACGGGCAUCUGCGGAGGUGGAAAGUUUUUCGGCUGAGGAUGGGCCCGCGGCCUAUCAGCUAGUUGGUGGGGUAGUGGCUCACCAAGGCGCCGACGGGUAGCCGGCCUGAGAGGCCGACCGGCCACACUGGGACUGAGACACGGCCCAGACUCCUACGGGAGGCAGAAGUGGGGAAUAUUGCGCAAUGGGCGAAAGCCUGACGCAGCGACGCCGCGUGAGGGACGAAGGCCUUCGGGUUGUAAACCUCUUUCAGCAGGGACGAAGCGAAAGUGACGGUACCUGCAGAAGAAGCACCGGCCAACUACGUG